rnacentral:rRNA from 1 species
CGGCCUACGGGGGGCAGCAGUGGGGAAUAUUGCACAAUGGGGGAAACCCUGAUGCAGCAACGCCGCAUGAAGGAAGACGGUUUUCGGAUUGUAAACUCCUUUUGUUAGAGAAGAUAAUGACGGUAUCUAACGAAUAAGCACCGGCUAACUCCGUGCCUGCAGCCGCGGUAAUACGGAGGGUGCAAGCGUUACUCGGAAUCACUGGGCGUAAAGAGCGCGUAGGCGGGAUAGCAAGUCAGAUGUGAAAUCCUAUGGCUUAACCAUAGAACUGCAUUUGAAACUGUUAUUCUAGAGUAUGGGAGAGG